rnacentral:rRNA from 1 species
GAUGAACGCUGGCGGCGUGCCUAAUACAUGCAAGUCGAGCGAACGGACGAGAAGCUUGCUUCUCUGAUGUUAGCGGCGGACGGGUGAGUAACACGUGGAUAACCUACCUAUAAGACUGGGAUAACUUCGGGAAACCGGAGCUAAUACCGGAUAAUAUUUUGAACCGCAUGGUUCAAAAGUGAAAGACGGUCUUGCUGUCACUUAUAGAUGGAUCCGCGCUGCAUUAGCUAGUUGGUAAGGUAACGGCUUACCAAGGCAACGAUGCAUAGCCGACCUGAGAGGGUGAUCGGCCACACUGGAACUGAGACACGGUCCAGACUCCUACGGGAGGCAGCAGUAGGGAAUCUUCCGCACUGGGCGCAAGCCUGACGGAGCCCCGCCGCGUGAGUGAUGAAGGUCUUCGGAUCGUAAAACUCUGUUAUUAGGGAAGAACAUAUGUGUAAGUAACUGUGCCCAUCUUGACGGUACCUCAUCAGAAAGCCACGGCUAACUACGUG